rnacentral:misc_RNA from 1 species
GUCUCCCGUCAGUCGCCUGCCGACUCUCGCUUGAGCUUGUUUGACUCGCGCCGCUCCGUGCACCGCACUCGUGCCCCGAUCACGACGCGUGCCACCCCGCUGUGGCCGCAUACGCGACCUCUUAGCUACCGGCGAAAUAUUUCUCCUAACUUACGUGCAACUCUCAUUUUUAACUUUAGGACUUACAUCCAUUACCUGGCUUGUAAUACCUCUCAUAGUUGAGCCCCGCACCGCACCGGCUUGUUCGCUGACCGCCGAGCCGCUAAUCUCGCUUUUUCGCGCCCCGCCGUCGCCCGCCAGACCCGCACCGGCCGCCGCCAUGCUCGCGCACCAAGCACCGCUCGCCCUGUACUAAAAUCAAUCGUCAACAUCGAUAGGAACGAGUGUGAUAAUAAUAAUUUAAUACUUGCCUAAACAAGCUUGCAACGUCGGUGUCUUUAAAUCUAACUUAAUUGUAAGAUUAAUCUUGUAGAAAUAACGUACGAAUUCGUAAUUUUCUUUCGUCUUUCGCCGCCGCGUCCGCGUGUGUCGUAGUGUGUGGUAGUGAGGGUGCGUAGUCUCCGCAGCAAGAAGUGUGAGAAGUGUAUGCUUGGAGCGCCCAGGCGCUUAACCCCCGCGGCCUAUGAGCCGCAGUCGCACAGUGUAACUGCGCGCUCUUUUUACCCCUUUGACUACAUUGGCAACGAUGGCCAUGGUGAACAUGAAUAGCCUUCUCAAUGGUAAAGACUCUCGUUGGCUGCAACUUGAAGUGUGCCGAGAAUUUCAACGGAAUAAGUGCUCGCGACCAGACACCGAGUGCAAGUUCGCGCAUCCCCCGGCAACCGUCGAAGUGCAGAAUGGAAGAGUCACUGCUUGCUACGACAGUAUCAAGGGUCGGUGUAACCGCGAGAAGCCACCCUGCAAAUACUUCCAUCCCCCACAACAUCUCAAGGACCAGCUGCUGAUAAACGGAAGAAAUCACCUCGCGUUGAAGAACGCGCUAAUGCAACAGAUGGGUCUAACGCCUGGGCAGGUGCUGCCUGGCCAGGUCCCCACCGUGGCGACGUCGCCCUACCUGUCGGGCGUGCCCGGCGUGGGGUCGACGUACGCGCAGUACUACACGCCGCAGCUGGUGCCGGCGGUGCUCGGGCACGACCCGGCUGCCGCUGCUGCCUCGCCGCUUGGCGUCAUGCAGCAACCCGUCUUGCAGCAGAAGCUGCCGCGCACCGACCGCCUAGAGAUGGACAUGAAGAGCGUCGGAUCCUUCUAUUACGAUAACUUCGCUUUCCCCGGGGUGGCAUACAAGCGGCCCGCCGCCGAUAAAGCCGGCGUACCAGUGUACCAGCCGGCGACCACUUACCAGCAGCUGAUGCAGCUACAGCAGCCGUUUGUGCCCGUAUCAUUUACUGGACACCCUCCCGGUGUGCCAAGAUUUUAAUCGACAAGGAUGUUCGAGACCUACCUGCAGAUUUGUUCAUAUUCGUGAAGGGUGCGGGCUGCAGGUGGUGGGGUGCCGCGUGGUGGUGUGCCGCGACGCCGCCGCCGGCACGUGUCGCCGCGCCGCCUGCCGCUACUACCACAUCCCCGUUCAAUUGCCGCCAGCCCUCAGACCCCCCUAAAUAGACUUCCUCUCCCCCCUCCACCCCCCC